rnacentral:tRNA from 3 species
GUGAGUGUAGCUCAAGGGUAGAGCGCCGGUCUGUGGCACCGGAUGUUGGGGGUUCGAAUCCCCUCACUCACCCCA